CAGCAAGGCGAAGUAGACACAAAAAACGGCAGAAAACCCGAAUAAACAUCGCCGUAGCUUUCCCAAAUGGAGUGCACUGAAGCAGGAAAAGGGUUUACUAAGCGACGACAAGUUGGAAGCUUUCUGCUGGACCGGUCGCCAUCAAACAUGUUCCAUUACAAAACAUUUGUUAUUGUGAUACUUCUAAGGGCGAGCGUCUACCCAAAGAAGUGGCUGUACAUCAGGAGCUACAUAAAUCGGAGACAUGCCCUUAUAUUGUUAAAAUAUACGACUGGUAUCUGGAAGAUCAGCUCAUCAUGACUAUGGAAUACCCACGGCCAUGCAUGACCUUGCAUGAUUUCAUCAAAUGUCAUCCAAGUCUUCCGCGUGAAACCUUGGCACGUCGUUUGAUGAACCAAGCAGUUACAGCAGCCAAAUACUGCAUUGGACACGGUGUCAACCAUGGUGACUUGUCAUGCGACAACUUCUUGAUCAAUACAGAUCGGAUGCAGGUGAAAAUUAUAGAUUUUAGAUCCGGCAGGUUUAUCUCAACCACCAACAACCUAGAGUCAGGAUACUGUGUUACAGACAGUGCCUAUGCGGUUGCAGAUACUGUCUGUGGUUUGGGUAAAAUUCGGGCACAAUUGGUGGGUUGCUGUUGCUACGUUGGCGUUACUCACAACCACAUCGUAUCUGAAGGUAAGAGAACAGCACUAACAAAAAUCUUUAAAUGUUAAAUGCAAACUAAGCAUCUGCACUGUUUCUGGGAGUUCUCACCAAAUACAACUUCCCAGGAAAAAUAUAAUUAUUACUAAAGUCUUUUUUCUUAAAGUUUUUUUUAUUCAGGUCCAAAAAGAGUCUAUUUAACAUAAAGCAAGAUUUUGACAGAUUCCUAAAAUGUCUGUUUCCUCUGUCAGGGUUCUGUUCCUUCCUGUCUUGGGUUCUCGUGCCUUGGGGACAGUGUCAUGACAAUAUCAUGUCUUGUGAGUGUGUUUUGUUUUGUGUGGACACACGUGGUGGUUUGUUUUGACAUUUUGCCGUGUGUCCUCCUGUCUUUCGUUUAGCUCCGCCUCCUUGUUUCUCCGUUAGCAUCCCAUUAGUGUUUCAUCUCCCUCACCUGUCCAUUCUACUUCCCGCCAGUCUCCCUUAAUGUUCGUUAACAUUCGUUAAUACAUGUCUAAUGCAAUCUCAAGCUUCUCCUUGGUCUUCUGCAUUAGCCGAAGCUGCUCAGCGUAGUCUAGGGUUGGGAAUGGGAUACCAACAUACACAUGACCGGAGGAAGGCAGAGGAUGGGGUACGGCGGGACAAAAACAAGGAGGGGGGAGAAAACAAAGGGAUAAAUAUGAUUGAGAAGAUAAACAAAUGGAGGGAAAAACAGAAUGAUUUUCUGAGAUGAGAAAACCAUACUUGACUGAUGUGACCUUUGACCUAAUCUAUUAUCUCUAAUAAUCAUCUUAUCUAGUUCUGUUCUAUUAGGGUUAAAAGAGUUUCCUAGAUCUGGCUGUGUAAUUGCAUGGCACUGCUGGUUGAGAUAUCUAUUGUUUAUGCUGAAUUUCCAGACGCUUACAAUAGUGCCAUUUGCAUUCAUUUCUGACAUGCUUUGUGCUGAAAUGUGGCAGAUUUGUCCAAUGCUGUGUGCUUUAUACAUGUUCACACUGCACAGAGGGAAAAUGUAUAAAGCCUCAAGAUGGCUGAAAGCAGACUGUGGCAGGUAAGAUGAAUACACACAUUGUAGCCUGCACCUAUUCCAUUGCUUUAGUAAUGUCCUUUAUUCAUUUCUCUUUCGUUGUAUUCUGUGUGUGAUACCUGAGAGUUUGGCCUCCAGCUUUCGUAUAUGAUCGUUCCUGCGCUGGAUCUGAGAUGAGAAAUCAUCUCUGGAGCUGCUGCCGUCGGAUGCCUGAGAGUGAAGGGUCGCCAUCAAACAUGUUCCAUUACAAGAUAUUACUUUUGUGGAUACUUCUAAGGGCGAGCAUCUACCCAAAGAAGUGGCUUUACAGCAGGAGCUACAUAAAUCAGAGACAUGCCCUUAUAUUGGUUAAAAUAUACGACUGGUAUCUGGAAGAUCAGCUCAUCAUGACUAUGGAAUACCCACGGCCCAUGCAUGACCUUGCAUGAUUUUAUCCUAUGUCAUUCAAGUCUUCCGCGUGAAACCUUGGCACGUCGUUUGAUGAACCAAGCAGUUACAGCGCGCCAAAUACUGGAUUGGGCACGGUGUCAACCAUGGUGACUUGUCAUGGGACAACUUCUUGAUCAAUACAGAUCUGAUGCAGGUGAAAAUUAUAGAUUUUGGAAACGGCAGGUUUAUCUCAACCACCAACAACCUAGAGUCAGGAUACUGUGACAGUGCUUAUGCGGUUGCAGAUACUGUAUGUGGUUUGGGGAAUAUUCUGGCACUAUUGGUGGGUUUGCUGUUGCUUCACUGGCGUCACUCACAAACACAUCGUAUCUGAAGAAUGCCAUGACCUGAUAAACCGCAGCAUAUGCAGGGAUCCAGCCGACAGGCUCACAUUAGAUGAGUUCUCGGAUCACGAAUGGUUUGUGCUGGAAGAAGGACAAAAGUGAUUUUUCCAUACUGCAGAUUGGUUUAUUAAGUUUAUCUGGUUUAUUUUGCUUGUCUUUGAGAAGUUUAUUUAGAGUUUUAGAUAGUUUAAAAGGUUUAGAAUACUUUCUCUCUGGAGUCGUGAUCCUUCUCUGAUGAUGUCAGUAUGACGGAAUGAGCAAAAGUUACAGUGAUAGUUCAUCCA